rnacentral:rRNA from 1 species
CAGCCGUAAACGAUGUGCGUUAGGUGUAUCGACGACCACGAGCUGUCGAGGUGCCGAAGGGAAACCGUGAAACGUACCGCCUGGGAAGUACGGUCGCAAGGCUGAAACUUAAAGGAAUUGGCGGGGGAGCACCACAACAGGUGGAGCCUGCGGUUUAAUUGGACUCAACGCCGGACAUCUCACCGGAUAAGACAGCUGAAUGAUUGCCGGGCUGAAGACUCUGCAUGACUAGCUGAGAGGUGGUGCAUGGCGUCAGUGACU